rnacentral:rRNA from 1 species
GUCCUUUUGUAUUUAAUUGAAGGUCUGACCUGCCCAGUGAUUAAUUUAACGGCCGCGGUAUACUGACCGUGCAAAGGUAGCAUAAUCAUUAGUCUUUUAAUAGAGGGCUGGAAUGAAAGGUUUAACGAGGAACUGACUGUCUCAUUUUAUUUGUUUUAAAAUUUAAUUUUUUAGUUAAAAAGCUAAAAUUUCAUUGGAAGACGAGAAGACCCUAUAGAUCUUUAUAGAAAAAUAAAUAAUUAUUAAUAUAUAAAUGUAAUUAUUUAUUUUUUUAUUUUGUUGGGGUGACAAAAAUAUAAAUCUAACUUUUUUAUUUAUAUAACAUUGAUUUAUGAAUAUAGGAUCCAUUACUAGUGAUUAUUAGAUUAAGUUACCUUAGGGAUAACAGCGUAAUCCUCCUCCAGAGUUCAUAUUUACAGGAUGGGCUUGCGACCUCGAUGUUGGAUUAAGAUAAUAAUCAGGUGUAGCCGCUUGAUUUAUAGGUCUGUUCGACCUUUAAAUUCUU